UGGGGAAUAUUGCACAAUGGAGGGAACUCUGAUGCAGCAACGCCGCGUGCGGGAUGACGGCCUUCGGGUUGUAAACCGCUUUCAGCCAUGACGAAGCUUUUGUGACGGUAGUGGUAGAAGAAGCACCGGCUAACUACGUGCCAGCAGCCGCGGUGAUACGUAGGGUGCGAGCGUUGUCCGGAAUUAUUGGGCGUAAAGAGCUUGCAGGCGGUUUGUCGCGUCGAUAGUGUAAACACGCAGCUUAACUGUGUGCCUGCUGUCGAUACGGGCUGACUAGAGGAGGGUAGGGGAGAAUGGAAUUCCCGGUGGAGCGGUGGAAUGCGCAGAUAUCGGGAGGAACACCAGUGGCGAAGGCGGUUCUCUGGACCUUUCCUGACGCUGAGAAGCGAAAGCGUGGGUAGCAAACAGG
rnacentral:rRNA from 1 species